rnacentral:rRNA from 1 species
GAUGAACGCUGGCGGUAUGCUUAACACAUGCAAGUCGAACGGGAUUCUUCGGAAUCUAGUGGCGGACGGGUGAGUAACGCGUGAGAAUCUGCCUUCAGGUCGGGGACAACAUUUGGAAACGAAUGCUAAUACCCGAUGUGCCGCGAGGUGAAAGGUUAACUGCCUGAAGAUGAGCUCGCGUCCGAUUAGCUAGUUGGUGGUGUAAAGGACUACCAAGGCGACGAUCGGUAGCUGGUUUGAGAGGACAUUCAGCCACACUGGGACUGAGACACGGCCCAGACUCCUACGGGAGGCAGCAGUGGGGAAUUUUCCGCAAUGGGCGAAAGCCUGACGGAGCAAUACCGCGUGAGGGACGAAGGCCUGUGGGUUGUAAACCCUCUUUUCUCAGGGAAGAAGCUCUGACGGUACCUGAGGAAUCAGCAUCGGCUAACUCCGUGCCAGCAGCCGCGGUAAU